CGCCGACGUGUAGAUAUAUUAUACCAGCUAAAAUACGCAUCACGAUGAUAUCAGUGACGGUGGCGAAUCGUACCUUGUUAUAAUUUUUAAUAUGUAAAAUAUCGUGUUCGCAAUCCACCGGGAGACGGCCGUGUUUUCGAAAUGUAAACGCCAAACAUACGUACAUAGAGUGGGUUUGUUCAAAAUCCGAAGAGAGAGGUACGAUACCGACUAAAAUUUAACUAUAAAAAGAUUUCAAAAAAUCAGAAGGAAAAAUAGCUAUUGACAAGGACAAACAGUAGUGUAUGUAUAAAUUUAACAUGACCCCUAAAAGUUGGGAACGUUUAAAGUUGAAAAUCAAGUUCUAAAUAUAAUGAAUUUCACAAUAAGGAAGAACAUGUGCAAUGAGCAUUUAUCACAUAACAUUAGGUAACAAAUCAUUGCUUUUAAGUAUUUUAACAGAAAUUGACAAGCAUAAUUAAAUGAUAAAAUCUUAGGUAAUCCUAAUAGACUAGCGUAGGAGACUUUAAGACCUGACACUAUAAUAAAUUCAUCUGUCCAAAGCCAACAGUUAUGGUGAUUUUUUCAUUUUAAGCUCAAGGAAUAAGAGAUGCUCAAAUUUAUAAAUUUAACAUCAGGAUAAAUAAUAUUGCCCUGACAUUCUUUUAAUAAAAGAAGGGACAAAAAUAUUAUGCAUAACCAUGGUAUGUCAUGUAUUCUUCAAUAUAUGCUACAGAAUUCUAUUCGUUAGGUGCACAUAACUACCUAUGUGGUAGUUCUAAAAGGACACUACACUCGCAUGAGUUGUCUCAGUCUUACAAAUAUAAAACAUAAGCAAAAACUGUUUUGUGUGGGAUAGAACCACUCAGGUUGUAGUGACAAUUAAGACUCCAAAUUGAUAUACAAUUUAGUUGAGAACAUUAUCAUUUUUAUUUUUUUGAUAACAGCUAGUUCUUUUUUAUAUGUAGUUAAAAUUUUGUUUCUUAAUUAUGACUGUAACUCUCUUAGUUCUUUCCUGCGAAAAACAGUAUUUUACUAUGUUUUACAUUUGUAAGACGGACACAUGCAGAUGUAAUAUCUUAUUAAAAACCCAAACGCAUAAACUAUAGGAGUAUGACGAUGAGUACCUUUAUCACUUCUAUAUCAGAAUUUUGUUAUUUGGACAUAGAAAUAUUUUCAAUCAAAAAAACACUGAAAUAUUUUAAAUGUAAACAUUUAAAAGAAUUUUGUGACUAAUUUAUUAUACCUCAAGUUACUGAACAUCUUCAUAUACAGUUGCUUGUAACUGGAUUACUAUAUAUAUAUAUA